GCGCCGUCCUAGCUUUAAAAGGCGACGUCGUAGGAAGCUGCUGCACAUCGUUUUCGGAAAAAAAAAAGCCGUUACAGCAAUGACUCUCCUGUUAAAGUUCCUGUGUAUGUUGCUCGCAAUGAUGAUCAUGCACCGAAUGGCUAUCAGUAUGCCAAAUCAUCGAGAAGAACCGAACCGUUGCGGCCAAACUUGCCACGCUAACCAAAGCGAUUGUCCAAGCGGCUGCGCCUGCAUUCUGACGAACUUCUCUACAACUGGUACUUGUGUUGAUACAAGCUUUCCUGAAGGGGAAUUCCCAGGUACUCCACCAAGUUUUACAAGCCACUCCAGUCUUUAAUACCCACCUCGAAUAAAUGGAUCACUCAGAUACGC
rnacentral:lncRNA from 1 species